rnacentral:rRNA from 1 species
UGAACGCUGGCGGCGUGCCUAAUACAUGCACGUCGAGCGAACGGACGAGAAGCUUGCUUCUCUGAUGUUAGCGGCGGACGGGUGAGUAACACGUGGAUAACCUACCUAUAAGACUGGGAUAACUUCGGGAAACCGGAGCUAAUACCGGAUGAUAUUUUGAACCGCAUGGUUCAAAAGUGAAAGACGGUCUUGCUGUCACUUAUAGAUGGAUCCGCGCUGCAUUAGCUAGUUGGUAAGGUAACGGCUUACCAAGGCAACGAUGCAUAGCCGACCUGAGAGGGUGAUCGGCCACACUGGAACUGAGACACGGUCCAGACUCCUACGGGAGGCAGCAGUAGGGAAUCUUCCGCAAUGGGCGAAAGCCUGACGGAGCAACGCCGCGUGAGUGAUGAAGGUCUUCGGAUCGUAAAACUCUGUUAUUAGGGAAGAACAUAUGUGUAAGUAACUGUGCACAUCUUGACGGUACCUAAUCAGAAAGCCACGGCUAACUACGUG